GCUCGGAGCCCCUCGCGCUGCCCUGCCGCUGGCUGCCCAGCCUCACCGGUCACCUCGCAAGGCAGGCAAGGCCCCCGCCGGCGAAGCACAGAUGGCCUCCUGCCCCUUCGCUGGACGUGCGAGCGUUUUCGGCUAUUACGAGAGCCCCAGUGCCGUACAGGGCAGCGGUAAAAUUAUAUGUGUAGUGGAGUGCACCCCUGGGCUCCACACGGUGAAUUUUACACAGAGCUAAGGGCAUUGAAAAUGGUAAAAGCACAUUUAAGUCCUCAAAUAAAGAAGUGACUUUAAUUACGUAAAGAAAUAGAUUUUGAAAGAAAUGACGGUUAUUUGCUAGAGGAAAAUAGCCUCUAAGUCGUGUUUACGACUUAAUGGGUGGUUAUUAUGGAAGGAAUAUUCUCCUCUAAGUCUACACGCUCAUCCAUUACCGAAACAAGAACAGGACCCAGCGCUCUUGGGGAGAGGUUGCUGCCUAUUCUGUCAGAUCAGACAAACUCGGGAACCCGCGGAGGCCGAGAUCGCCAUGUCACAGAAACACCACCGCCUGCUGCCGGCCGUGGGCAGACGGGACUGCAGCUCCUGCCUCCUCCGAGCAAAGCUUUUCAAGGAGAUUCUCAGGACGACCGCUAUUUCUCCCGGGACUCGAAGACCACGCGAGCCCUCGGUGCAGCAGCGCUGUGUGUGUUUUUACACAAAAGCGCAGAUCGCGAGCGAGCUGACAGCCGGCACCCAGGCCGGCUCCGCGGCGGACGCCCAGCCCUCGCCCGGCUGCAGCAAAGGGAACUCGGCGGCUUCCCGGGGCGUCUUGCGUGGCUUCUCGUUGGUAAUGAAAUGUGAAGUUGCCUGGUAGGCUUUGGCGCCUUAACUGUUCUAAAGAACAAAUUCAUUUGCGCUUCAGUUUGGCAACGUGCAGCUUUCCACGCGCUCAGAGGAGUGCGAGUUAAAAAGUCAUUUCAGAAACAGUCCCAUUAACUACGAAACGGCCCCGUGCGGUUCACUAGACAUCGCGGCACCGCCACGAGAACGCGUUUCCAGUUCCAAAAGUGAGUCCUGAGAGCCUGAGACGGCCGCAGUCAGGAGCGAGGCCGGCGGGGGGCCUGCGAGGAGCAGCCCAGCCCUGCGGGACGCCCCGCACGCACGCACGCACGCGGCCAGCCCCGGCCCGCACACACUCGUUCGUGGCGCCUCCCCUGCCUGACGCCAGGAGCGCGCUGCGGGAGGGCCCCAGCCCAGGGGACAGAGGCACCACGCUGAGGGUCUGAGGCUGCAGCUCGCCCCUCGCCAGGAGUGAGACCGCGGGGGCUGCGGGAGCCACCUGUAUGGAGCGCUACACGGCCCUGAAAAGGACGGGCCCCGACCGCGCUCCCACGUGCCUGGUCCUGGAGGCCCUGACGCUGGGGGAGGGGGCGGCCAGGCAUCCUCCGGAGACCUCCCAGGCGUCACAGGCAGGAGGUAGAGCGGGGUGCCAGGCUGGGCAGGGCCUGGGAACUCAAGGUUAAGGAGCACGGAGCUUGGGUUUGGGAGCGUGCGCAUGCGCUCAAAGCGCUCACACCGUUAAGGAGGGUGAGUUUCAUGUUACGUGGAAUUUGCCACGAUAGAAAUCACAUUUUUAACCCUCUUAGAAAGAAAUUGUUAACAUGGAGAACUCUUGAACGCUGACCUCAUUCGGUAAGGGGGAA
ensembl:lncRNA